GCACAUCCUCUCGCGAUCUCCCGAUUAGCGAGGCCAUCGCACCGCACUUCGCUCAGUUUGCAACGUGCAGCACGAGACAUUGUCUGCGCCAGCCAGUAUAUAGCACAAUG
rnacentral:lncRNA from 1 species